rnacentral:rRNA from 1 species
AUGGACGUCACAGUCGACCGCACACGGGUGGCGCCGGAGAUCGAGAAGGCUGUCGACAACAUCGCCAUGGAGUCGGACCAUGCGCUGGCGCGCGAGCGGCAGUUGGAGCCCGUGCUGCCGUGGCAGGAGCAGCUGACGAUCCAGGGAAUGGUGGCAGCGCUGUUCAUCGGGUUCAUCUACACAGUCAUCGUGAUGAAGAUCGCCCUCACCACCGGGCUGGUGCCCACGCUCAACGUCUCCACCGCGCUGGUGGCUUUCCUCGCGCUCCGCGGCUGGACCCGCGGGCUCGCCCGCCUCGGCAUCUCGUCCCGCCCCUUCGCCCGGCAGGAGAACACCGUAAUACAGGCCUGCGACGAUUCCUGCUACACCAUCGCAAGUGGGGUUGGGUCGACAUUGCUGGACCUCAACAAGAAGACGUACGAGCUUGCCGGGGAGUCGCCGGGCAACGUGCCCGGGAGCUACAAGGAGCCAGGCAUUGGGUGGAUGACGGGAUUCCUUCUGUGGUUUCUAGGGUUUACCUUCUCUGCUUCCACCAUGGGAGGAUCCUUCACUCCGAUUGGCACCGGCGCCGGUUCUGAACGUGAAGUCCAGGGACUCGCUGCCGCCGCCGCCAAACGAUAUCCCGCUGCCACCGCCAAACGAGAUCACGCCGCCACCGCCACCGCCAAACGAGAUCCCGCCGCUGCCAUUGAUGAGGUGAAACCCCACGAACCCUCCGCUGCCUGUACCGGCCUCGCCGACGGAGGCACUCCAGUUCGAGGAACCGGCCUCGUUAGGUGCCGGAGCGCGAGAUGGGCGUGUGAGGCCGACGUGCCGUCGAGGCAAAGUUGUAGGAGGAGGAAGACGCUCGAAACCUGCCGUGCCGAUGGAGAAGGAAGGAGCACCAGAGCGUCCGGUGAGACCAAGAGGAGGAAGACCUCCGGGCGGCGGCGAUCUCGGCUGGAAAGCAACCCUAGAAAGCCCACGGAGGCCAAGAGGAGGAGGCCGGCGAUCUGCACAUUGCUGCGGCGGCGUCAUUGGAGAGAGGAGGGAGGAGAGAAGAUGCCGUCUAUCAAGUGGUACUAUGUGAUAGUAGCCUAUCUCGUUGCACCUAUGCUCGGGUUCUCCAAUUCCUAUGGAGUGGGUCUCACUGACAUCAACAUGGCCUACAACUACGGCAAGAUUGCCCUCUUCAUCUUUGCGGCCUGGGCUGGCAAGAAAAAUGGUGUAAUUGUUGGCCUAGUUGGUGGCAUGGGCUGCAUUAUCUCACCCCUCACCUUCAUGCUCUUCUACAAGGCAUUUGAUGUUGGUAACCCAGACGGAUAUUGGAAGGCGCCGUAUGCACUAAUAUACCAUUGUAUGGCAAUUCUUGGUGUGGAAGGCUUCUCAGUUUUGCCCAAGCACCGCCUCUCAAUCUCUGCUGGAAUUUUUGCAUUUGCGAUGCUUCUGAGUAUUGCAAGGGAUAUCCUACCACGUAGGUAUGUCAAGUAUGUGCCCCUGCCGAUGGCAAUGGUGGUGCCUUUCCUUGUAUGUGGGAGCCUUGCAAUUGACAUGUGCAUCGGGAGUUUGGUGGUAUUUGUGUGGGAGAAGAUGGACAAGAAGGAUGCUACCAUCCAAGUGCCCGCUGUUGCGUCCGGCUUGAUUUGUGGGGAUGGCAUAUGGGUAUUCACGUCUUCACUACUUGCUCUUGCCAAGAUUAACCCUCUGAUCUGCAUGAAGUUCACUCCUGCCAGCUAG